rnacentral:lncRNA from 1 species
GUCAAAAACAAAGGAUUACAUCUCCACUAAUGGAAGGCUUACUCCCUUUCUCACAGUAUUCAACGGGAGCUGUGAAUAUUUGGUGCCACUGAUAUUACAGUGAAAGUUGCCCAGGAAUAUCUAAUGGGAUUCAGUGGCUAGGAUCAGAAUAGUCUAGCCUAACACAUUGUGGAUUGGGCUGGCUCCUGACAACCACAUUUGCCUGGGACUUGAUAAGCUCAAUAGGUUAUAUCCAGCAUGAGUCUUACUCAGAGUAGAUGCACUGGGAUUAAUGCAUAGGACAAAUUUUGUUCGAGUAAUUCAAAGUGUACUCUGGGUGUACUCUGAGUUGGUUACAACCUAGUACGUGUGAUUGUGUGAGUAAAUAUUUUCACUGACUUCUAACUUGAAGGUUCUCACUUUGACUUUUAGGCUUACAAGUCUUAGGAGCAAGUGAAAGACUAUCUACUCCCAUAUGAGCCUGUAUCAGAUGCCCUGUUCUAGGUACCACCUUCUGGGUCGCAAGCCUUCUGAGUCCCUCCCUGGGGUCUGAUUCUGUGCCCCCAUCUUCCUUCCCAUACAACUCUGGAACCUCCUGAGGACCAGGCGAGGUCUGGCUCAACCUACUCCCUGGGUUCAUCCGAGUCCAACUCCUCGAGCAUCAUCCUGAUCUGACCAGCCUCUCCAGGACAUUCUCAUGAGGCUCAUGGCAACUACCCACUCUAGAUUUUAUAUUAGCAUAAUUUUAGUUAGGGCUGUCAGGGGUCUGGUCCAAGUCCAGUUAAAAGAUAAAGAACCCUAAGCAAGCAGGAGCCUAGAAUUUGUCCACCAACAGUUAAGCGGCUGGAGAGCAGACCAACCAGGGGCACACUGGUCACU